GAUUUAAUCCUUUCCUUCAAGUUAUUGAAUUCAAUUUUCUGUGAGAUACAUUUUAGAUUAAAGUGCAUAGAGAUUGAACAACAGAAAGCUACAAAUAAUAAUAAUAAUAAAUUUCAGCAACAAUUCUUAGCCAAAAGCAAGCAACUCUAAUUUCAAAUUUCUCUACUGGCAAAAAACAAGCAUGAACAGGCUCUCGAAUGGAGGAAGCCCAGGCACGGAACUCAAAUCCACGUCACCAUAGAUUUUGUCAAGGCAAUCAAUACGGACCAGAGACUUUGCUUGUGACAUCUCAAGCUAGAUCUUGAUGCAAAUCUAUCUCUGCUUUUGUAUCCUCUUGUCCCUUAUGGGCAGCUCAAUGGGCUUCUGAGCCUCAUGUGGGUGGUCCGGGCCCUUGUAUACCUUAAGGUGGUUGAAUAAUGCUCUACCAAGCCUCCCUUUAGGAAGCAUACCACGAACAGCAUGUUCGAUAAUUCUUUCUGGAAUCCUCUGUUGUAGCUGAUCAAAUGUCUCCACUUUCAUACCACCAGGUCUUCCUGAAUGCCUUCUGUAUAGCUUUUGGGUCCUUUUCUUCCCAGACACAGCAACCUUUUCAGCAUUCACCACAAUCACAAAUGCCCCCAUGUCCACGCUAGGAGUAUAGGUUGCCAAAUUCUUUCCACGAAUAUAAAUAGCAAUUGUGGAUGCCAGUCUCCCAAGAAUUUUAUCAGUUGCAUCAACAACAUACCAGGGUUUAUCCGUGUUCACAUGGUCUGCAGCUUUAGGAUACCAAGUCUUAUUCCAAAUGUCAGGGCCAUUAAGCUCGGACUCCUCGAACAUCCAACGUUGGUCGAGGGGUACACGAGCAAGGUCCUUUUCUUCCUUCUUCUGAGACCGAACCACAAAAUUGUGGCAGCUAGAAACAGGAAACGCCGUCCGUAUACAUGAUUUUGAUUUUAGCAAAGAGAACCCCACAAUAAACGGACUGCUAGUAAUGGAGGACUUGCUUGCAGAAGAAAAAUAAGGUUGAGUUGUACUGGCAGUAGUCGAAGAAGAUAAAGAAGAAGAGGGCGUCAUAGAAGAUGGUACACACAGAAUUGACAUUCUCUCCUUACUUCAGCUUCUCUAUUCCCCAAUCGUUCUGGUUCUGUUCCGCC
rnacentral:misc_RNA from 1 species